AUGCACGCUGGCGGCGUGCCUCAUACCUGCCAGUCGCGCGAACAGACGAGGAGCUUGCUCCUCUGACGUUAGCGGCGGACGGGUGAGUAACACGUGGAUAACCUACCUAUAAGACUGGGAUAACUUCGGGAAACCGGAGCUAAUACCGGACAAUAUAUUGAACCGCAUGGUUCAAUAGUGAAAGACGGUUUUGCUGUCACUUAUAGAUGGAUCCGCGCCGCAUUAGCUAGUUGGUAAGGUAACGGCUUACCAAGGCAACGAUGCGUAGCCGACCUGAGAGGGUGAUCGGCCACACUGGAACUGAGACACGGUCCAGACUCCUACGGGAGGCAGCAGUAGGGAAUCUUCCGCAAUGGGCGAAAGCCUGACGGAGCAACGCCGCGUGAGUGAUGAAGGUCUUCGGAUCGUAAAACUCUGUUAUUAGGGAAGAACAAAUGUGUAAGUAACUAUGCACGUCUUGACGGUACCUAAUCAGAAAGCCACGGCUAACUACGUG
rnacentral:rRNA from 1 species